GCGUAGGAAUCUACCUAUCGGCGGGGGAUAGCCCGGAGAAAUCCGGAUUAAUACCGCAUAAGCCCUACGGGGGAAAGCGGGGGACCACUUGUGGCCUCGCACCGAUAGAUGGGCCUGCGUAAGAUUAGCUAGUUGGUGAGGUAAUGGCUCACCAAGGCGACGAUCUUUAGCUGGUCUGAGAGGAUGAUCAGCCACACUGGAACUGAGACACGGUCCAGACUCCUACGGGAGGCAGCAGUGGGGAAUAUUGCACAAUGGGCGCAAGCCUGAUGCAGCCAUGCCGCGUGUGUGAAGAAGGCU
rnacentral:rRNA from 1 species